CUUGAUUAAUGAUUCGCACUGUUCGCCUACUCGGUCUACUACUACUCAACGCAUCUCUGCGCGGUAGACUGUUGGGCGGCAUUCAGCGUUAAGUUGAAUCAAGUCACAAGAGAAAACGAAACCCGCGCACUGCGCGGGUUUUUUU
rnacentral:sRNA from 1 species